AUGCGUAAUCAUUUUCAUGUGGGGAUUAAAGUGAUAUGGAAGUUCCAGGCUAAUAGGCUGCCAUCUGCCUCAACAGCUAACAACGCCUCCAUUCCAGACCUUCAAAACCUCGAGCAUCCCCCGUCCAAGGCGUCCCCAACCGGCAGUAAGCAAUCACUUGUUUUCUACCCCAAUAUUGUGUUUGUCUGUCUAAAUGAUUGGCUCUAUGAGAAGUUGCAUUGGAUGAAUUCGUGCUCCAUGAUUAUGGUGGCGAUUUCUGUAUGCAAUUUCUCUGAUUCAUGCUCGAGUGUUGUGGGCCUAUGA
rnacentral:rRNA from 1 species